UACGGAGGAUCCAAGCGUUAUCCGGAUUCAUUGGGUUUAAAGGGUGCGUAGGCGGAUUUGUAAGUCAGUGGUGAAAGCCAACAGCUUAACUGUUGAACUGCCAUUGAUACUGCAAGUCUUGAGUACAUUUGAUGUGGGCGGAAUGUGUCAUGUAGCGGUGUAAUGCUUAGAUAUGACACAGAACACCGAUUGCGAAGGCAGCUCACAAAACUGUAACUGACGCUGAGGCACGACAGCGUGGGGAUCAAACAGG
rnacentral:rRNA from 1 species